rnacentral:rRNA from 1 species
GUCCACGCUGUAAACGGUGCGCAUUAGGUCUCGGAGCUUUCGAACGCUUCGGGCUCAAGCUAACGCAUUAAAUGCGCCGCCUGAGGACUACGGCCGCAAGGCUAAAACUCAAAGGAAUUGACGGGGCCCGCACAAGCGGUGGAGCAUGUGGCUUAAUUCGAUGCAACGCGAAGAACCUUACCUAGGUUUGACAUGGACGUGGUACCCGGGCGAAAGCUUUGGGGACCCGCAAGGGAGCGUUCACAGGUGCUGCAUGGCUGUCGU